GGCCUCUCGUUUCGAUUAGCCUAUCAUUAAAGUUGGAAACACCAGAAUUGACGCUUGCGUAUGAGUGUGUACAGGCCGAGACAAGCAUUGUAAGGAUCCCAGUUAGAAUGAUGCUUGAUCUCCUGGUAGAGCAUCUUGGGCUUCACAAGGCCAUCUGAGACUCGGGCUCAAUGAGAACACAAUGAGAGUCAUCAUUCUCUCUGACACUGCUGUUCAAGACGACCGGACCUGUCCACCGCGCAUGCCCAUUACCGGUGUAUGAACAUUGCAUCCUUUAAUUUACCCUGUAUAUGAACAUUCCAUUCUUCAAAUGUGUUGUACUAUCAUUCUGGUGGCUAUGGAGAUGUGUUGUACUGUAGUUUUGGUAUCCAUUGAUGAUGUCUUGCUCCGAUUACACUUGAAUCUGUA